AGAGGGUGACACUCCCGUCCGCCUGGCAGAGUGAGUCAUUUGUCAACGAGUCGAGUUGUUUGGGUAGUUGCAGCUCUAAUUUAGGUUGGGUAAAUUACCAUCUAAAGACUAAAUAAUUGGUGGGAGGACCGAUAGCGUACAAGUACCGUGAGGGAAAGGAUGCAAAGAAACUUUGUAAAAGAAGAGUUAAAGAAGUACCUGAAACUAGCUGAAACGGAAAGCGAAGGAAACCAGUGUUUGUUGGUUCAUAUUUCCUUGGCCACCUUGUGGUUUGGGUCGCUGUGAGCUUGCGUGGGUUUGGGUUGGUUGUAUUCCUUUGGUAAGAGCGCAGUCAGAGUUGAUGUCU
rnacentral:rRNA from 1 species